UGCCCGCCUUCAUAGGCGCUGCUCGCUAACAGCACUUGCCCCUACAGUCUGUUACAGGCUACAUGGGGAAUCUUUGUCUUUGGUGGUGGUGGUGGCGAUGCGCUGUUCUGGAAACUCAAUGUCUGACUCUCGGGCCCCCCCCCCAACCAACCCACAUGCAAGGCCACACGCUGCAACUGGGUGGCGCUGUGCUACCGUCACCUCCCCCCCCCCCCCCGUCUGCUCACCGAACAAGAGGGCGGCGAUGGAUUGCGUGAGAAACGACAGCGACCAAAAAUAACUGGGAGGGGGGGGGGAAGCGCUGGGUGCGUUGCGCAACCUCGCGCGCUGUGCCAUGCCCCAGAUCCGAGCGCACCCCACGUGCCACGCACGAUGAUCAUUUGUCGCUAGCUUCGGUACCGCUGCUCGACACAAUGCGUGCGAGUGGUAGCGUCGCGGUCAUCGCGCUGUGCUACGAACCCGAACAAGAGUUCGAUUCCUGGUCACGGCCAACACCGAAACGGUCCUGGGCCUCCCCUAGGUCGACGCAUCCUCAAAUGAGUACCCGGUGCGAUGUGUAAACGUCCCCACUCGGGAGACAAAGGUGGCCGGGCGUGGUUGCUGUCCAGCAACACCCCAUUGUAUGCUGUUCCGGUCGUCAUAGGAGCUCGCUAACAGCACUUGCCCCAGCAGUCUGUCACAUCUAUACGGGGGAUCUUUGUCUUUGCACAGAUGUAAUUAGUCACAAAAAAAGAGGGUGUCAUCCUUUCAACAUAAUAAUCAUUUGAACAUGUCGCCGCCGCACGGGAUUCGCUCGACUCUCGAAGCGAAAGAGAAAACGACUGAAGAGAUGCGAAUGGACCAGAGCAGUGGGAAGGCGGCCAGCUGGUGACACAUUUCCUCCCGAGCUUUGCAGUGUUCUCUACAUAUGAAGGUGUCAUUUGGUCAAAUGUUGUAGGAAACCGGAGCACCUGGAUAAAUCGCAGAGAGAGCAGGUGCGUGGGGUUCACAUUUACUGUACCGCCUUCUCCUGGCAAACCUUAACGCCCGCAGGAAGGCGGUUCCACGUUUGAUCCACCAACCCUCAUCUCCACUGCUGGAUUACAAGCAUACGUAGCCACCACGAUCACCCAGCUCUGGAACAUAUUUCUCUUCAUCUUAGGAACGGUUUGAAUCCUGGGGCAUAUUAUUUUUCCUGUUAUAGAGAUCUACAUAAAUCCCUUGCACUAUUUAGUAUUUCUAUCUCUAACUUGUGGAGCGGCUUUAUAUUUAUCCUGCAAGGUGACCGCCAUUCAUGAAUUGCCAAUCGUUCACCUCUUUGCUGUGCUUAUAAUCCAAAUUGAUUGGCCCGAUAACUUCAAACAUGUUUUCGGAUUUUUCUCAUUUUUUUUUCUUGUUGAUAAAAUUACAGAUGUCUGUAUAUGCAACUGUAUGUUUAACAUCCGUUAGUUAAACCCUGUCCAGUCAGCGGAGCCAAAUCACAGGAUGAAUUAAAAAAAAAACCUAAGUCAAGUGGUCAUCCUACAGGGAAACCGGUCCAUGCCAUCGUAGUUUGGAAUUACGACCACUUUUCUCGGGCUGCCCCAAUGCCCCGUGUCCUGAGAUGGGGUAAAUGACUUAAUUUUAGUUUUACUGCAAUAAUAUAAUCCAGUGGUAGUGGGUUCGCCACUUGCUGUAGUGGUUGGCAGUGUGAAUCCGGCAGGCCAACCCGAUUCAACACCGUUGGUCCAUUCACCCAUAACGUGCACGCAGUCAGUGGGCCUUACAAUGUCCCGUGACAUCAUUGGAAGCAGAGUAGGGCCACGCUCUGUUGGCGUCAUGAUCCGAAUCCGAGCAGGGGCCUCCUGAAGAUGAGUCUUGAGACUCCCCGAGGAUUCUCGUGAGGAAACAAAGCACCGUAACACUGGUCUACAAUUUUUUAUACGUCUGCUUCAGAGAUUAAAUGUGCUGUUUAUUAUGGAUUUUGAUGUUCUGAAUUCAAAUGACAAUUAAAACUGAUUGGCUGCUGUUCCCAAGAUAUGGAAGUGGUUUAUAUUUUAUAUCUAUGUAUAUUGUGUAGAUGGUCGAGUUUUACUCAUAAAUUGUAAACCUAGGUCUUUUCGUGUUUAUGGUUGCUUUACAUGAUACCAAGUCACCUGUCCUGUUCAUGUAACACUUUAAACAUCAACAAGAGGGUUAUAUAGAUAAAAUGUAUCAUGAAACUAGAGGUAAAAAUAACUAUUGUGUAUAUAUAAGUGCAUAGUUUAGUCCUUAUUCAGUGUCUACUCAGCGCUGCUUGGCUUGCCUCUUGUAUUCAUUAAAUGGAGCGUCUCUUGUCACUGUCCAGCAAUAGUCUGCAAGCAUUGAUGGGCUCCAUUUGCCCUGUUAGCGUUUCUCCAUUGUCGCAAUGUCCUGGUGACAUCGCUCGACAUGCUCGUCGCUCGCUGCUCUGCAGUUCGGUGGGGAAAAAUCUAGAUGACAGUGCAACAUUUUUAUCUUGAGUGACAUGUUGCAACAAAGGCUUUUGUAUGCCUUGAGGUUUUCCACCAACUCCCUGUAGUUGUCUGCCCUGUUGUUUACGAGAAAAUGUGUUGCCACUAACUGGAAGGCGUUCCAUGCCGUCUAUUCCUUGCCACGCCGUGUACUGUCAAAUGGAUCUCGAAUUCACAAAUCUGAGGACCAACAAAGACACCUUCCUUCAUCUUAGCUUCACUUAACCUUGCAAAUUUUCCACGGAGGUACUUGAAAGCUGCUUGUGUUUUGUCCAUGGCUUUGACAAAGUUCUUCAUUAGACCCAGCCUGAUAUGUAAUGGUGGUAACAAAAUAUUCCUUGAUUCAACAAGGGGUGGAUGCUGAACACUUUUCCUCCCAGGCUCCAAUGACUGUCGGAGUGGCCAAUCUAUCUUGAUGGAGUGGGAAUCUCAGACGAUCCCAUUCGCAGAGAAAACAGCAGCAGUACUUUGUGUCUCCAGUCUGCAGACCAAGAAAGAGAGCAACAACCUUCAAAUCGCCACAAAGCUGCCACUGUUGUUGGUCAUAGUUUAUGCACCUCAAGAAUUGUUUCAUUUUGUCAUAGAUUUCCUUCAUAUGGACUGCAUGACUAACUGGAAUUGAUGGCAAAACAUUGCCAUUAUGCAGUAAAACAGCUUUUAGACUCAUCUUUCAUUAAUCAAUUGUCUCCAUUCAUCUGGAUCAUGAACGAUAUCGAGGGCUGACAUCACACCAUCGAUGUUGUUGCAGGCUACAAGAUCACCUUCCAUGAAUAAGAAUGGGACAUCCUUUUGAUGGUCACAGAACAUGGAAACCCGAACAUCACCUUCCAGAUUCCACUGCUGCAGUCUGGAGCCCAACAGCUCUGCCUUACUCUUGGGUAGUUCCAAAUCCAUGACAAUGUCUUUCAGUUCACCUUGUGUUAUGAGGUGUGGUUCAGAGGAGCAUGGGAGAAAAUCUGGGUCAUGUGACCUUGAUAGUUCAGGACCAAAGUUUCAUCCUCUUCCUCGUCUGACUCAAGUGAAAAUGAUUCUGGUGCAUCAAGAACCAGCAGUCCUUCUCCGUGAGGUACUGGGCGUACAGCUGAUGGAAUGUUUGGAUAAUGCAGUCCACUUUUUCUUCUUUGACACACCUUUCCCAACUGGAGGCGCCAUGCAGAAGUAACAAUUGCUGAUAUGAUCUGUUGGCUCUCCCAAAACACAUUGGCACUGCAAAAGGCCUAGAUUUCCUUUUCCUCUUCGACCACUGGCAAAGAUUUGUUGCACACGUGUUAGAGCAUAUAUGUGGGGCCCACAUCUUGUCCUGAUCUCCAAUUUUUCAGCCAAAAUAAAGGUGAUAGGCUUUCUUAAC